rnacentral:tRNA from 1 species
GGGUUCGUAGCUCAGUUGGUUAGAGCGCCACAUUGACAUUGUGGAGGUCAGAGGUUCGACUCCUCUCGGACCCACCA